AGGAGGCAAGGGGAGAGAGAAGGGGAAGAAAGACAAGGACAAAGCCUGAGAGUUUACAUGUUAUUCUAAUUUCCCCGGAGGUGUUCAAGAAACAUUUAGAUAUAGAGUUGAGAGACAUGGUUUAGUGGGGUUAUUGGUGGUAGGUGGAUGGUUGGACUGGAUGAUCUUGUAGGUCUUUUCCAACCUAGCUAAUUCUAUGAUUCNGGGGGUGGCAUAGGGGCAGGUUGGGGGGCAGCAGGGCGGGGGCUGGGCUGGCUGUGCCAUGGGAGGGGAGGGAGGAGCAGGAGGGAGGUGGAAGGGGGGUCUCUGUCUCAGCAGGGGCAGAAGGGCUGUGCUGGAUGCCCAGGGAAGAUGUGGAGGAAAACGCCGGAUCUCAGAGAAGAGAAGCGGGAGCUGCAGGAGAGCCCCAGGAGGAAGGGCAGUGCCCCAGAGGCUCCGUGGGCUGGAGCUCCAGACGCGCUCUGUGCUGCGGCAGAGGCAGGAGACCCUGGGAAAACUGCGGGCAGUGCUGCAGAAGGAGAGGAUGGCGGCACUCUGGCAGCUGCAGGAGAACCUGGAGAAGGAGCACUGUCACCUCAAGGAGCUGGCAGCCCCAGAAGCCCCGAAGGAGCCACUGACUGCAGCGAGAGCCCUGUGGGAGGCAGAGACUUGUGUGUGGGACCCAGCCCAGCCACCCCCUCCUUCCAAACCAGGGUUGAGCCAUGCCACAGGUGCACAGAGAUGGGGCAAGUGCCAGUGCCACCGCUCUGUCUCCUCCCUGUCUCCAAGCACUGUGCCCGGCCUCCAGCAGCCCCACCAUGGGGUCCUGCACCACAUCCUGCGUUGCCUGUGGGAGCUGCAGGUGGAGGACCUCGGUGUGCUGGGAGCAGAGCUGGGCACCACGGCAAGCAUGGAGGAGAAUGCCCAAGGAGAGUUUCUCUGCGUGCGAGGGGGGAAAUGAGAAUUUUGUGCAGUACUGAUUGCUGCAUUUCCUUUCAGGAGGAGAGAGGGAGUGAGAAUGGAAAUCUUUGUCUGCUUUCUUCCCAAUCAAAAUAAAAGCGUUCCUCAUUAUGUUUUUCUGGACUGGGGAGAUUUCUGAAUUUACUUAUGACACGCAGCCCAGUUUAUAAGCUCCCUUUAGGUACUGGAAGGCCACAGUGAGGUCUUCCCAGAGCCUUCUCUUCACCAGGAUACCCUAAAAUGUGGUAUUUCUACUUCACCUCAUGCUCAGAAGCUUUGGGAUGCUGAUGCAACCUUGACAGCACCCCGUGCAAAGCAUGUUCCUAUGGAAGGCAAUGGAAGACCCUUGAAACAGAUGUUGUUUAACAUCCCUAAAACUGGAUGAAAUACCAAGAAGCAAAUAUCUGUGCCAGAAAUUAUGAACUGGGAUAUAGAUAUAAAAAAAAAAAAAAAAAAGAUGAUAUUUUUAUAAAUAGUAUGGGAAGUUCUGCUGGAGCAACACGUAAUUCAUAGAAACAGCCCUCUGGUACAAGUCACUAUUCAAACACUGAUGGAUGAGAGCUGCUCAUCUCCCCAAGGAAAACAAGAAUUUCAGUCUGGGAAAGCAAAGCUACUUGUACUGUGGUAAUGGUGACCGUGAUCAUAUGGCAAGGGUGCCUGGGACUGAGUUGGUAACAGUAAAGGACUGAGGGUGGUUUUGGGAGACUCUUAUAUCAAGAAAACUGGGAAAUGGUUAUCUCCAUACAGUGUAAUUGUACCUAGAAAAUUAAUGAAAUGGAAUAGAGUGUAAUGAAAUGGGACAGAAUGGAAUGGAACAGAAUGGAAGAGAAAGAAAAGAGGAGAGGAGAAUAAGAGGAGAGGAGAAAGAAAAGGUAGGGAGGGGUGGGGAGGGGAGGGAAGGGAAGGGAAAGGAAGGGAGGAGAAGAGAAGAGAAGAGGAGGGGAGGGGAGGGGAGGGGAGGGAAGGGAAGGGAAGGGAAGGGAAGGGAAGGGAAGGGAAGGGAAACGGAAAAGAGGAUGUCAUUAUCCCUUCACAGGCAAUGCAUGGAGUGGUGGGGAGGAUGGUGGAAGAGUGU
rnacentral:lncRNA from 1 species